GACGAACGCUGGCGGCGUGCUUAAUACAUGCAAGUCGAACGGACAGGCCCCUUUGUGGGUACUCGGGCGGUGACCGGGGGAGUAACAGGUGAGUAAGCUGCCCCUGACUUUGGGACAACUAUAGGAAACGGGGGCCAAUACCAGUAAGGAAUCAUUUCUGCAAGGGGGGGGUUGGAAAGUUUCGGCGGUUUUGGAUGUACUUGCGGGUUAUAUGCGUGUUGGUGGGGCAGUGGCUUACCAAGGCGUUGUCGGGUAGCCGGCCUGAGAGGGCGACCUGCCACUCUGGGCCUGAGAGGCGGCCCGGACUCGUACGGGUGGCAGCAGGGGGGAAUGUUGCACGAUGGGCGGCAGCCUGAGGCAGGAACGCCGCGUGCGGGAUGACGUCCUUCAGGUUGUAAAACGAAUUCAGCAGGUGCGAAGCUUGUGGUGACGGUACCUGCAGAAGAAGCACCGGCUAACUACGUG
rnacentral:rRNA from 1 species